rnacentral:rRNA from 1 species
UACGUAGGUGGCAAGCGUUGUCCGGAAUUAUUGGGCGUAAAGCGCGCGCAGGCGGCCUUUUAAGUCUGAUGUGAAAGCCCACGGCUCAACCGUGGAAGGUCAUUGGAAACUGAAAGGCUUGAGUACAGAAGAGGAAAGCGGAAUUCCACGUGUAGCGGUGAAAUGCGUAGAGAUGUGGAGGAACACCGAUGGCGAAGGCAGGUCUCUGGGCUGACACUGACGCUCAUGCACGAAAGCGUGGGGAGCAAACAGG